rnacentral:lncRNA from 1 species
GACGACUCAGCAAGGACAAAAAAUGUUGAAAUUUUGAUUCUAGGGCGAAAUUACCACCAAGUUUUGGGAUUUUCCAAUGAAUGUUAUUAGAUGUUUUCUCAUUAAUAUAUUACUAAAAGAUAUCUUUUGUACACUCUGUUAACACAAUCCAGUUGGAUAUAUAAACUACAAAUUAGUGAAUUUAGGUGUUAGAGUAAGAGUCAAUGAGCAAAAGGAGCAGCAUCGGGGGACUGGAGAAAGCAUGUAUAAUUAUUUCUAUUCUUAGGGUGUCAUCCUUUACAGGGACAAGCCGCUGACAAUGUUCCAAUGCCGAUGGAUAUAUAUUUUAUGUGUAUAGCAUCUAUAUCUAGAAUCUAUGGUGGAAGCUAGCUGUUAGCAAUCCCACAGCUAAGAGCAGCAGGCCAGGAAGGAGAGAGACCCUUCAAGUUCAAUGAAUAGCGUGUAGGGCUGCGGUUUUGGACUCAGCUAGCUGAGAGCGGAGGCCAACACAGUCACAGGCUACAGACAGCAGUAAUGAUUCUCUGGGUAAUACCCAUGUCCUCUUUUAAUAUCAUCAACUUCAUGUCAUUAGAAUCUUCUCUGUGAUCCUUAACUAUAUUUUUCAGCCCACAUGCUUUUGCUUGGAAUUACAUCACAGCCCCCUACAGCCUACUUUUCUUUUAUGCACUCACUCAAGUGCCUUUUUUCUU